CCUACGGGUGGCAGCAGUGAGGAAUAUUGGUCAAUGGACGCGAGUCUGAACCAGCCAUGUCGCGUGCAGGAAGACUGCCCUAUGGGUUGUAAACUGCUUUUGUAAAAGAGUAAAACCAGACACGCGUGUCUUUUUGAAAGUAUUUUAUGAAUAAGGAUCGGCUAACUCCGUGCCAGCAGCCGCGGUAAUACGGAGGAUCCGAGCGUUAUCCGGAUUUCUUGGGUUUAAAGGGUGCGUAGGUGGUUGGAUAAGUCAGAGGUGAAAGUGUGAGGCUCAACUGUGGAAUUGCAACUGAUACUGUUCGUCUUGAGAGUAGUUGCGGUAGGCGGAAUGUAUGGUGUAGCGGUGAAAUGCUUAGAGAUCAUACAGAACACCGAUUGCGAAGGCAGCUUACCAAGCUACUUCUGACGUUGAGGCACGAAAGCGUGGGGAGCAAACAGGAUUAGAUACCCGAGUAGUC
rnacentral:rRNA from 1 species